ACUCUGGCGUCUAAGGGGCGUAGCCUAGGGCUUUAUCCAAUCGAUGGCGCUCAGUUGCAAAUUGUCCAAUCACAGGCUGCAGAGGGAACAGAGGGCGGGUCUUCCGCAGUCUCUUGGGCUACAGUCUCUUACCCCGCCCCAUUCGGAUCCUUGGCGACUCCUCUUUCUCCUCCGCUCCUGGGGGCCCAGAUGACUGGCACUGCCUCUUUUAUCCUGUAACCCUGCAAGCACUGGAAGUUCGGUGGGGAGGAUCCUGGGACACUUUGUGAGAAAAGAAAUACACCGCACCACACAAAUUUCACACAACAUUUUGGUGCAGCGAGCAGGGUGAGCUUCGCGAGGACAGCACGGGCCCGCUUCCUGGGGAUUGCAUCUCUGUUUCAGCGGUUGUCAGCUUAAGGAGUGAUGAUAGGCAGAUCCCACCAGCCAGAGAUGCCUGGAGUCCUAU